AUUGAACGCUGGCGGCAUGCCUUACACAUGCAAGUCGAACGGCAGCACGGGAGCAAUCCUGGUGGCGAGUGGCGAACGGGUGAGUAAUGUAUCGGAACGUACCUUCAGGUGGGGGAUAACGUAGCGAAAGUUACGCUAAUACCGCAUAUUCUGUGAGCAGGAAAGCAGGGGAUCGCAAGACCUUGCGCUGAUUGAGCGGCCGAUAUCAGAUUAGCUAGUUGGUGAGGUAAAGGCUCACCAAGGCGACGAUCUGUAGCGGGUCUGAGAGGAUGAUCCGCCACACUGGAACUGAGACACGGUCCAGACUCCUACGGGAGGCAGCAGUGGGGAAUUUUGGACAAUGGGCGCAAGCCUGAUCCAGCCAUGCCGCGUGAGUGAAGAAGGCCUUCGGGUUGUAAAGCUCUUUCGGCCGGGAAGAAAUCGCACAGGUUAAUACCCUGUGUGGAUGACGGUACCGGAAUAAGAAGCACCGGCUAACUACGUG
rnacentral:rRNA from 1 species